ACCUGGUUAGCUCAGGUGGUACAGAGCGCUCCACCUGUAAUGGAGAGGUCCCGGGUUCGAUACCCGGACCAGGCG
rnacentral:tRNA from 1 species